UACGUAGGGUGCGAGCGUUAAUCGGAAUUACUGGGCGUAAAGCGUGCGCAGGCGGUUGUGCAAGACAGAUGUGAAAUCCCCGGGCUUAACCUGGGAACUGCAUUUGUGACUGCACGGCUAGAGUGCGGCAGAGGGGAGUGGAAUUCCGCGUGUAGCAGUGAAAUGCGUAGAUAUGCGGAGGAACACCGAUGGCGAAGGCAGCUCCCUGGGCCUGCACUGACGCUCAUGCACGAAAGCGUGGGGAG
rnacentral:rRNA from 1 species